rnacentral:tRNA from 3 species
GGGUCGUUAGCUCAGUUGGUAGAGCAGUUGACUUUUAAUCAAUUGGUCGCAGGUUCGAAUCC